AUGCAGUUUCCCUUUGUGAGAAAUGGGGUAAAAUCAGGAGAGUUCAGAGUGAUUGCUACAUUGCCGAUGACUACAGUCAUGUUUUCCACAAGCACAAAGAUAGAGGUGAGGCAAGGUAAUGAAGUCAGUCAGAUGGGAAUCGGGGUUCAUCACCCCAUCUUCCACCCAACUGUUCAAAAUCCACCCGAGGCAGCUACAGUAGGUUUGGAAACUGUGUCUCAAUUGAUAGAUCAUAUUUCGCAGAAAUUUCUGAGUUACAGGAACUCCAAGAGGCCAACCCACGGCAAGUGCUCGGUGGUUCUUUAUGGGCCUUACCAGAACAAGGAAAUUGCGAGGGGGGUCGCUCACACUAUGAACAUGAGAUUCGAAUACACUGAUGCAUCAAAGCUGAUAAAAGAUUACCCAGAUGAUUCUGUAGCAGCCGUGGACGAGCUGUUUACAGGGAGGGGCCCAUGUGUAUUAUUCAUUGACAGAUUUGAUAAUGUCGCACCUGAAGUAGGAAGAGGUUACAGCUGCAUCACUGAUGUGAUAGCUGCCAAGCUUAAGCUCACUUUAGACGAGCCAAUGGAGAACCUUGUGUUUAUCAUUGCAGGAGCAAGGUGGAGAUCCUUCGUAGAACCUGGUAUUCAUUCACGUGUGAGUGAUGUACUAUUCUGUGGACCACAAGAAGAACAGCAGGAGUGGGACAGUGUUGGGACGUGUCUCAGGCGCUUGAUGACUCUGCCAUACAAAGGGGAGCAUAGCCGUUGGAGAACACCUAGUGUUGUUCUGUAUGGAUGGAACUCCUCUCAGAUGUGGAACGUUGCCAGCUCGUUUGCUGCGUGUCGUUCUCUCAAGCUUGUGAGAGCUGAAGCAUCACAUCUUCUCAGGCUGUACAACCGCGUUGGACAUGCCGCGGUAGCAGACCUUUUCCUGAGAGCGACGUGUGAGAGGCCAGCCUUGUUAUUCAUUGACAGUUUCGACACAGUUGGAGAUCACGCCAUGAUAAAUGAGCUCUGUGUCCACCUGGACAAUAUGGACAGGCAGGUCCAUGUGUUUGUUGCCGUUAGGUGGUGGCAACUGAUGAAUCCCCAACUCCUAGAAGCUGGCAGACUUGAUAAGCAGGUGUUCUGUGGAACAGCCACAACGAAGGUGCUAUGGGACUAUGUUGGGAACCAACUGCUUCAGCACCAGCAGUCCAGAGGACCAUAG
rnacentral:rRNA from 1 species